GAUGAACGCUGGCGGCGUGCCUAAUACAUGCAAGUCGAGCGAACAGACGAGGAGCUUGCUCCUCUGACGUUAGCGGCGGACGGGUGAGUAACACGUGGAGAACCUACCUAUAAGACUGGGAUAACUUCGGGAAACCGGAGCUAAUACCGGAUAAUAUAUUGAACCGCAUGGUUCAAUAGUGAGAGACGGUUUUGCUGUCACUUAUAGAUGGAUCCGCGCCGCAUUAGCUAGUUGGUAAGGUAACGGCUUACCAAGGCAACGAUGCGUAGCCGACCUGAGAGGGUGAUCGGCCACACUGGAACUGAGACACGGUCCAGACUCCUACGGGAGGCAGCAGUAGGGAAUCUUCCGCAAUGGGCGAAAGCUUGACGGAGCAACGCCGCGUGAGUGAUGACGGUCUUCGGAUCGUAAAACUCUGUUAUUAGGGAAGAACAAAUGUGUAAGUAACUAUGCACGUCUUGACGGUACCUAAUCAGAAAGCCACGGCUAACUACGUG
rnacentral:rRNA from 1 species